CCUACGGGUGGCUGCAGUGGGGAACCUUGCGCAAUGGGCGAAAGCCUGACGCAGCCAUGCCGCGUGAAUGAUGAAGGUCUUAGGAUUGUAAAAUUCUUUCACCGGGGACGAUAAUGACGUUACCCGGAGAAGAAGCCCCGGCUAACCUCGUGCCAGCAGCCGCGCUAAUACGAUGGGGGCUAGCGUUGCUCGGAAUUACUGGGCGUAAAGGGGGCGUAGGCGGAUUGUUGCGUUAGAGGUGAAAUCCCAGGGCUCAACCUUGGAAUUGCAGUUGAUACUGGCAGUCUUGAGUACGGCAGAGGUAUGUGGAACUCCGAGUGUAGAGGUGAAAUUCGUAGAUAUUCGGAAGAACACCAGUGGCGAAGGCGACACACUGGGCCGUUACUGACGCUGAGGCUCGAAAGCGUGGGGAGCAAACAGGAUUAGAUACCCGAGUAGUC
rnacentral:rRNA from 1 species